GUCAGCCACCUCUCUGUCACUUCGUCAGUCUCCUUUCUACCGGCUCCACCCACUCGAAAUUUUCCCUCCUUCUGCACUCUCCCCGUCUUUCGUUAGUCCUGUUUGACUGCACUGUACUUUUCUGCAUCUGUUAGGUUGAGCCCGUCAGUGUUUUUCUCCACCACAAAUUGCUCUUCUUUCCCUUUCAUCCUCUGUCUUCUCUUCUCCUUCUUUUUGGUACUAUAUUGCUUUGUCCACGCAUCUUUUCCCCUCUCUCCCCCCACUCUGCAGCUACUCCCCUUCGGAACUUACUGUGCCUUUCGCCCCCUUUCACGUCUUCUCCGCCUACUGUCUCCUCUUGCCUGCUGACCGUUUAGGUGGCUGCCAUCACGAACCAUGUUGUUUCUUCUCCUUGCCUCUCCCCACAAUCGGCCAUUUGCUCUUUCGUUCCUGUUUUGCUAUUGCUGCUGCUGCUCCUCCUUGCCCGUUUCACUGCGCCAGCUGCUUCUUAGUCUUUCAUGCGGUUUCUUUUCCACAUCUUUUUUAUUUUCGUCUCCUAUUACUUAUGCAGCCCCGUUUCAGCUGGAUCCUCUAGCUUGUCCUUUCUGCUUUCCUCUGCCUAUUACUUCAGAAACUGGUGCUCCAUUACAAAACCUCAAAUCAGCUGAAAUACAAGCCGAAAAGAAGAUAAGCCUAAAUCCAUGGAAGCUCAUAACAGUAACAAAGAUUUCACAAUAGGAUGCAUAUUCUCCAUCAAGACCCCUAUUGGAGAAGAAUUUCAAGGCCAAGUCUUGACCUUUGACCGCUCAUCCAACAUACUUGUUCUUAAUAUCCUUCUACUCCUGUUUUAUCAAGAUUUUCCUUUAAAAAGUUUCAUUUUUUCUUCUCAGUAUUUUCGCAUGCAUUUACAGUAUUUAUUAUGAAUUGGUAAUUUUUCUUGUGGGUUUUGAAAUUCUUUAACUUUGGAUUUGAGAAAUACAAGAAGGAAUACAUUUAGGGUCAGGGCCAAACAGGAAUAUUAGGCUAUUGAAAGCCAAUUACAUCAAGGAGUUUACCUUUUUGGGUCAAAGUGAAGACCCUCUUGAUCUCAAGAAAUGUUUUUAUUGAUCUUAAUAAUCUUCAAGCCAGAGAAGACUCUGCUAUUACGUAUUUCGAAUUUUUUAUUUUUAUUUCUGACCAAGUUGUGGAUUUGGAUUAUUUUGUGAUUAUUGUGGUUGAUUUUAUAAGUGGCAUUUUUCAGGCAAGCUGAGUUAGACGCUGAAAGAUUUAGGAUUGCUGUUACAGCUGAAACUGAGAGCAUUUUUUAUGCUCUGUCCAAAACGGUUUGCCACAAGCUUUGUUAAGCAGAAUUGGAUUUCUAAAGGGAGUGCUUUUUCUUCCAACUCUUAAUACGGGAGACGAGAAAGUGAUUGCUGAUAUUGCUUGCUUGAUGUCCGAAAUUGGUCAGACAGCACCAUCUUUGAUUUUGAAAGCAAGUCCUGAGGCAGUAAUACUCAUGGAUGCUCUGUUGAGGUUAGAUCUUGAACGUUUGACAAUGAUGUGCUUAAGGAGAUAGCGUGUAUCAUAGCCAGAGUUGUUCUACUUUUCCUCGCGAAGAUUGGGAAAUUGCUGACUGAAUCUUGCAGUUCUGGUCAAGUCUUGCAGGUUGCAUUCUUGGGCAUGAUUUGAGUGGUGGAGGGGAUAGAAAGAAUAUACAAGAAGUGAACGAUUCUAUGUUUAUUGAUGAUGGAGAAGCUAUUGAUUUGCCUGAUGGCCUUGUUCAAUUUCGGAUGAAUCUUGGUGGAACUUUGCGUUGAUAUCUGUCAGAUUCUAGGCUCUGCUGCAUUCAGGCUAUCUCGAGCUACUGUGUUCAGCAUUAUAACUUCAUACUUUUUGGAUGCUCUUCUAGGCGUUGAUCUGCUCAGCUUCAACAACCUAAACAUUCAAGACUAAAAUUGAACUUGUUUGAUUUUCGUAUUUAAAAUGCCUGUAGAACUAGAACCUCUUUCGGAUGACUAUUCAAUAUUUAUAACAAAACUAUAUUACUCAAAUAA